rnacentral:rRNA from 1 species
AGAACGAACGCUGGCGGCGUGGAUAAGACAUGCAAGUCGAACGCGACUUAUAGCGAUAGCAAUAUCAUUGUAAGUUGAGUGGCGAAAGGGUGCGUAACACGUGGGAAUUUACCAAGAAGUGGGGAAUAGCUCGACGAAAGUCGAAUUAAUACCGCAUGUGAUCGAAAGAUCAAAGUCGGGGACCGCAAGGCCUGACGCUUUUUGAGAAGCCCGCGGCCCAUCAGCUAGUUGGCGAGGUAAAAGCUCACCAAGGCUAUGACGGGUAGCUGGUCUGAGAGGACGACCAGCCACACUGGAACUGAGACACGGUCCAGACACCUACGGGUGGCAGCAGUCGAGAAUUUUUCACAAU